CAAUUACAUUUUUUUAAUGGGAGGAGAAUAGCAUUUAUGGUAUCAGGAUAGAAAAAAUGUCUAAAAUAAAAGAUUAAAAAACACAAAAGAAAAGAUUACUAAAAAACACCGAACUGUACACUUUAAAAUGGUGAGUUUUGUGGGACGUGAAUUAUAUCUUGAUUUUUAAAAUUUUUAAUAUAGAGAGCAACAGAAUUCCUAGAUAAAAAUGUAAGGCAAACCCUCACUUGGAGAAGAUAUUUGCAAUUCAUAUGAUUCACAGGAGAUUAGUAUCCGCAAUGCCUGAAUAGGAUAAUGGGCAAUGUGUGUGCACAAAAAAAGGCAUAGAGCAGAAAACUGGAUGGUCCAUAAACAAGUGAAAGAUGAUCCACCUGGCUAACUAAAGCAGGACAAACCAACUUAAAACAUUGAAAUACCGUCUCAUACCCAUUGGGCUCAAAUACUCCGUAAGUCUGAUAGUGCCAAGCAAUGUGGGCAAAGAUAAAAGGGCUCUCACAUUGUUGAUGGGAGAACAAGAACUGUUCCACAUAGAGAGCAAUCAGACCCCAUAUAGUAAAGCUGAAGAUAGACAUACUUUAGGAUUUAGCAGUAACACCUCUUCAAGAUAUAUUCCCUAGGAAAUUUCCAAAUAUGCCCAAGGAGACAUUUAUACUGUUGAUUGACGUAUUAUUUAAAAAAUAGCAAAACAUUGGAAGCAACCCACACCUCCAUCAGAAGACCAAGUGGAUAGAGUAUAUUCGUGCAAAGGAUACAGCAAUUAAAAUAACUCAGUUCAUGUUAACAUAACAUUAGAGUAAAUCUCAAAACGAAUAAUGCUGUGUGAAGAGCUAACUGAAGAGCAAUGUGUACUACAUGAUGCCAUUUGCAUAAACACAUAAAAUAAUUCUGUGUAUUAUUUAUGAAAACAAACACAUGUCAUGAAUGUGUAAAUAUCUGAGGGAGAGAAGAGUACCAAUGAAUUUCAGGAUUGCCCAGGACUGAGAAGUUUCCAGGGAUUCAAUACUUUGAGUGCAGCAACCUGGAUGGUCCCGGGCAAACUGAGACACAUUGGUCACCCUAGGGAGGAGUGUUGGGAAGUGGCCUUCAACUCUGACAUUUCAUUGCUUAAUCAUGGUGGAUUGCAUCUGCAUUCACAGCUACACGGGAGGCUGAGGUGGGAGGAUUGCCUGAGCCAAGGAAUUUGAGACCAGCCUGGACAACAUAGCAAGACCCUGUCUCAAAAAAUUGUUUUAAAUUAAAUAUCUCAAGAAAGUAUAAUUAUUAACAUGUAAUAAAUCCAGGUAGUGGCAUAUGGG
rnacentral:lncRNA from 10 species